AGGAUAGGAGACCACUUUUAUGAGACAGUUAGAGGGUGGUCUUCGAUGCACCGGUGAGUUUCAGUUUAUGCAUACUACACAGGAUAGGGACCAGUGUGCACGAUCUGGUAGAGCCUGCGAGAAUAUGAUUGGAUAUAAAAAACGGGCUCCUCGAGGUCAUUUAGAAAGACACGAUGCAGCUGCACAUGAUCUCGCACGUGGAGUAGGAUCCAUAGACGUAUUAGAUUUCGAGUCGUAUACUAGAUUCUAUUAUCUGUAUGGGUCAUAGGCUGCUGUGGCUGUGGAAUUUAUGUAGCCUGGAGCAUCUUAUGAGUUGGAUUUUGCUGCCGACAUAUUCAGAUGGGCCCCUCUACAGCCGUAUUAUCAGCCAGAGGGCACUUCUUUGAGCCAGAGCUUCAGUGAGAGAUCUAAGAGUGCUUAUAAUCCGACGCACGUUCCUUAUAGAAUAAAUAUACAAGACUACAACGCCGCUUGGUUAGAGAGGUGGGCUGAUGUGAGCUUCAGUGAGAGAUCUGAGAGUGCUUAUAAUCCGACGUACGUUCCUUAUAGAAUAAAUGUACAAGACUACAACGCCGCUUGGUUAGAGAGGUGGGCUGAUAUGAGCUUCAGUCAGAGAUCUGAGAGUGCUUAUAAUCCGACGCACGUUCCUUAUGGAAUGAACGUAUAAGACUACAACGCUGCUUGGUUAGAGAGGUGGGUUGAUGUGCCUUCUGACUAUACUGAUGAUCCGGAUAUCUACGAGAGGCAUCGCCACUCGAUCCGAUUUUAGAUAUCGGUAUGUAUGUUGGACUUUAAAUAUAUGUAAUUGAUUGUAUUAUAUUUUAAUUUUCACAUCACUAGAUUUGAGGAUAUUUUAUGUUCGUUUUAUGAUUUGUGUCAUUUUAAAGCAAUAAGAUGCAUCAUCUAGAUUAAACCAGGAUCAUAAAAAACAUCAAAAAAACAUCAAAUUAGACUUAAAUUCAUAAAAGAAAGUUAAAAAAGAGUGAUUACCAAUUAAAUUUUUUUAAAAACUCCUAAAAAAAAUGGGUGUGCCGGUCUAUGAACUGCAUUCCCUACUCGUACCGGUUCGAUAUGGGUCCGAAUCGUACUGGGUGCCGACCGAUAUGGGUCCCGGUACUGGUUCGGCGGACCUUGCAACUGGUUAUAGCUUCCCUUAUGAUUAAUCACUGAAUUUAUAGUAGCGUUGGCAUCAUGGCCCAUUUUAUGUAGAUUGCUUUUCAUAUGCUAGUGCUUUUGUUUGCAUUAAACAUGGGAGCAAUGUAUUAGGAAGUACAGAUACUUCAAAUCAUAUAUUGUGUCCAUAUUAGAUAUGUAUUGGAUUCUGAUACUCGUUUAAUAGUACUCGGAAUGUGUUAGAUACUUGUGUUAAGUAUACUUUCCAUAUACACUUUAGAUACUUCCCCAGUGGGAGGGUGAAAAUAUUAGUCUAUGGUAUUACGUUUCCUCACAAUGCUUAUUUUGGGGCAUGCUGACUUGAACCGAUCGGUUAUUGUG
rnacentral:lncRNA from 1 species